rnacentral:tRNA from 1 species
GCCGGAGUGGCGAAAUUGGCAGACGCACAAGACUCAAAAUCUUGGGCUCCUUCGGGAGCGUGAGGGUUCGACUCCCUCCUCCGGCA